rnacentral:rRNA from 1 species
CCUACGGGAGGCUGCAGUGAGGAAUAUUGGUCAAUGGCCGGAAGGCUGAACCAGCCAAGCCGCGUGAAGGACGAAGGUGCCAAGCAUUGUAGACUUCUUUUGUCAAGGGACACAAUCAGGCUCGAGAGCCUGACCGAGGGUCCUUGAAGACAAAGCAUCGGCUAACUCCGUGCCAGCAGCCGCGGUAAUACGGAGGAUGCGAGCGUUAUCCGGAUUUAUUGGGUUAAAAGGGUGCGUAGGCGGGCUGUUAAGUCAGCGGUAACAGCCCGGGGCUCAACCCCGGCGAGCCGUUGAAACUGGCUGUCUUGAGAUGUCGAGAGGUAUGCGGAAUGCGCAGUGUAGCGGUGAAAUGCUUAGAGAGUGCGCAGAACUCCGAUGGCGAAAGCAGCAUACCGGCGGCGAUCUGACGCUGAGGCACGAAAGCGUGGGUAUCGAACAGGAUUAGAUACCCUUGUAGUC